AUUCAUUACAUUUUCAUCAUGGCCGUAGAUCAUUGCAAAUCACCUAGCAGUCUGGAUGAACUGUGGGCAAAGACAUUAAGUUUAGUUUCCGGACAAAAACGUAGCAUCAGAGUGAAAUGCUUUAUAAGGAGUACAAAAAAGAAAGAAAAAGAGAAUUAUGAAGAAUCAAUGGUGAUGGAUGGUGCCUCAAUUCAUUUCCCUAAAUCAAGUGUACUGGCUGGAAAUGAAAUAAACGGUGUCUGGACAUCCAUUUUGCUGGAUGGUCAAAAGAAACCCAGAAUGCUUCCGUACGGCACACAGUGUUGUGAAUUACCUGCCGAUGAAAUAAUCGGUUAUUUGAGAAAUAAACCAGAUUAUUUAAAAGUAACAUUUGAAAGUGUAGAAAAUGCUAUCAAAGAUCAAGUAAUUAAAGAAAAAUGGAAAGCAAACGCAGACGAGAUAUCGGUGCAAGAAAUCAAUGGGAAAAGUGAACAUUCUUUGUGUGAAGGUAAGCUACAGUCAACCCCCAAAUAUGAAGUUCUGGAAAAAUCUUGCAGUGGAAAGAAGAAUAGCAAAAAGGAAACCAUAAAACCAACACCUUUUCGUACGUCGAAAGGAAAAGUUUGGAAACGGGAAGAUUUUUUAAAAGACAAGCAGAAAUCAUCAAAAAAUGAGAUGCCAAUUGAGAAGUAUUUUUGUUGCUCUAUAGAGUCAAGUAAUAAUAUGAGGGAUCCUUUUUUGUUCUUUGAAAAUGCUUAUUAUUUCAAUAAAGGAACGCAGUAUAUACGAAUGAUAUUGAUAUCGGCUUGGGAUCGCCAUCUACAGUGGUGCAGGCAAAAUUUGUAUGAGGUUCCUCUGUCACAUAACUGUAUUCUUCAAUGGAAAAAAGGAAUACUUACUACUACAAUCAGGAAUGUACGUCCAAAAAUUGUUGUUGAUGUUCUAGUUGUCGGGAAUGUCGAUCUGCGAAAGAUUGAAAAUGUUUCGUGGUUUACCACCAAAAAGGGCUAUCGAGCAUCCAGAGAACCCAGAAUUGAUGUUUUGGACCCCAAAGAGUAUUUUGUAAAGCAAACGUUGUAGACGACAUGAAUUGAGCAUAAACCUUCUCUUUGCAAAGCGAUACGUUCAACUUGUUGAUUUUUACCAAACACGAAAGUUCAAUGAUAUUUUGAAAACACGUGUCUUAUUUGUUAUGUUGAAAGAAUUACUGGUAUUCAGUGAUUCGGCAAGAAAAUGGGAUAUCUAAUUGCUUCAGUUAAGACAACAGAAUUUUAGUUGUGAUACAGCAAAAUGUAGAUUUGAAUUGAAUCAGUAGUUCGCAUUCAAAGUCUUAUUUUGAUUGCUGUACAGCAUAUGCGCAUAAACAAGAAAAAUACAAUGCAACGGACUUUUCGUGGAAUAUGCAAAUAAUUAUGGUAUAUGACUUGUGAGUUCUUGUGCAUAAAAAUAAACCUUUAAAAAGCACCUUUAGAAAAUUAAUUUGAUGUGAAAGUAUGACGUUCUCUUCUUGAUUAGCCUAUCUUUGUUUAAACUUUGAAAUAAAUAUUUGCAUCGAU
rnacentral:sRNA from 1 species